GAUAAGAUGGUCGAUUAUAGGCGGUGGGCUGUAAGCUCACACAUAGAGGUUUAACUCCUCUUCUUAUUA
rnacentral:tRNA from 1 species